AGUCGUUCUGCCCAUUGUUUUUAAAAGGCUGCGGUAUACUAACUGUACAAAGGUAGCAAAAUAAAUAGUUUUUUAAUUGAAAACUUGAAUGAAAGAGUUGAUAAAAUAUAAAUUGUCUUAAAUAUUGAAUUUAAAUUAAAAGUAAAAAUGCUUUUAUAUUUUUAUUAGACGAUAAGACCCUAAGAAUUUUAUUAUUCAUUUUAUUUUUAUAAAUUUAUAAAAAAUGAAUAAUUUUAUUGGGAGGAUAGAUAAAUUGAACUUUAAUUUAAUUAAAUAUUUUUUGAUAAAUUUAAUGAUUAUUAUUAAGAUUAUAAGAAUUAAUUACCUUAGGGAUAACAGCGUAAUAAUUUUGGAGAGUUCAUAUUGAUAAAAUUGUUUGCGACCUCGAUGUUGAAUUAAAAUAAAAAUUGGGUGAAGAAAUUCAAAUUUUUAGUCUGUUCGACUAUUAAAAUUUUAC
rnacentral:rRNA from 1 species